CAAAAGUGAAGGCUUCACGCUAAACCACCGACAGUCGCUGCCGUUUCGCGCUUGCAUGGCGUUAAUGUGAAAUUAUUCAAGAGGCAUAACUCGUAUGUCGGUAGUGAUAUCGUUGAACGACCGAUUGUCCGUGAUGAACUUAAAAGGCCUUCGAAUUGUGUGUUCGGUGCUCGCAAACUAAAAGUGAUGAUCCCAGAAAUAUUGUAAAAGGCUGCUUCUCUACUAUAAAGUCACACUUAUGUACGAGUAUCCACUUAUCUUACUAUCAGAAAAUGCCCUCUUAGAGCACCCACGAUUGCAAAUAAAGGGUUUUUCAAACGAGACGCCUGGAUGUCAGUAGACGGUACUUACCUUCUUUUAUGUCGUCUUUGACAUUUAUCAAAUAAAAAAAUGUACCAUUUUAGACGAUAGAACAAUGCGUUAAAAUUCUUGAAAUUUAUUAUGAAAAUGGAAAAUGAAAUGAAA